rnacentral:rRNA from 1 species
UACGGGGGGGGCAAGCGUUGUUCGGAAUUACUGGGCGUAAAGGGUGCGUAGGCGGGCCUUUAAGUCAGUGGUGAAAUCUCCCCGCUCAACGGGGAAACUGCCAUUGAUACUAUUGGUCUUGAAUUUAGUUGAGGUGGGCGGAAUGUGUCGUGUAGCGGUGAAAUGCUUAGAUAUGACACAGAACACCGAUUGCGAAGGCAGCUCGCUAAACUAAUAUUGACGCUGAGGCACGAAAGCGUGGGGAUCAGACAGG